GACCUGAUAGCACAAUGGUUAGUGCUUCUGCUCGACUUAAAAUGUGUCAUGAAUUUUCGCAGAUGAUCCCCGUUCGAUUCGGGGUCAGGUCG